rnacentral:rRNA from 1 species
UUGGGAAUUUUGGACAAUGGGAGAAAUCCUGAUCCAGCGAUGCCGCGUGUGUGAUGAAGGCCUUCGGGUCGUAAAGCACUUUCAGUAGGGAAGAAGGGAAACUUGACUGUACCUACAGAAGAAGCACCGGCUAACUCCGUGCCAGCAGCCGCGGUAAUACGGAGGGUGCGAGCGUUGUUCGGAAUCAUUGGGCGUAAAGCGCGUGUAGGCGGUCUUAUAAGUCUGGUGUGAAAGCCCGGGGCUCAACCCCGGAAGUGCACUGGAUACUGUUUGACUAGAGGACUGGAGAGGGAAGUGGAAUUCCUGGUGUAGGGGUGAAAUCCGUAGAUAUCAGGAGGAACAUCGGAAGCGAAGGCGGCUUCCUGGCCAGUAACUGACGCUGAGACGCGAAAGCGUGGGGAGCAAACAGG